rfam:Ailuropoda melanoleuca scaffold395_94, whole genome shotgun sequence.
ACCUGGCUGGCUCAGUCGGUAGAGCAUGGAACUCUUGAUCUCAGGGUUGUGAGUUCAAGCCCCACAUUGGGCA